UGCGUACAUCUCCUAGUGCCAUGCAUGUC
rnacentral:sRNA from 1 species